rnacentral:rRNA from 1 species
UACGUAGGGGGCGAGCGUUGUCCGGAAUUACUGGGCGUAAAGGGUGCGCAGGCGGCCGAUUAAGUCAGAUGUGAAAUACCACGGCUCAACUGUGGGGGUGCAUUUGAAACUGGUUGGCUUGAGUGCAGGAGAGGAAAGUGGAAUUCCUAGUGUAGCGGUGAAAUGCGUAGAGAUUAGGAGGAACACCAGUGGCGAAGGCGACUUUCUGGACUGUAACUGACGCUGAGGCACGAAAGCGUGGGUAGCGAACAGGAUUAGAUACC